UACGAAAGGCCCAAACGUUAUUCGGAAUUACUGGGCUUAAAGAGUUCGUAGGCGGCGCAGAAAGUCGGGUGUGAAAGCCCUCGGCUUAACCGAGGAAUUGCGCCCUAAACUACUGUGCUUGAGGAACCUAGAGGUGAGCAGAACUGAUGGUGGAGCGGUGAAAUGCGUUGAUAUCAUCAGGAAUACCGGAGGCGAAGGCGGCUCACUGGGGGUUUUCUGACGCUGAGGAACGAAAGCCAGGGGAGCGAACGGG
rnacentral:rRNA from 1 species